AGCAUGUGGUUAAUUCGAUGGUACGCGAGGAACCUUACCUGGGUUUGACAUACAGGGGGAUGUGGCAGCGAUGUCACAGACUGGAAACAGUACCCUGUACAGGUGCUGCGUGGCUGUCGUCAGCUCGUGCCGUGAGGUGUUGGGUUAAGUCCCGCAACGAGCGCAACCCCUACUGCCAGUUACUAACAGGUAACGCUGAGGACUCUGGCGGAACUGCCGGUGACAAACCGGAGGAAGGUGGGGAUGACGUCAAGUCAUCAUGGCCCCUAUGUCCAGGGCUACACACGUGCUACAAUGGGCGAUACAGAGUGACGCGAAGCCGCGAGGUGGAGCAAAUCGCAGAAAAUCGCUCUCAGUUCGGAUUGGAGUCUGAAACCCGACUCCAUGAAGGUGGAAUCGCUAGUAAUCGCGCAUCAGCAUGGCGCGGUCGAAUACGUUCCCGGGCCUU
rnacentral:rRNA from 1 species